AGCAAAGAUGGUAGAGAGGUUGUUGAUGCUCUCUCUAAAAUUUGGUGGGCUCACGACACUCAUAGCUCACGUUUUCACUUCCCGAACUCUAAGCCAAAACCCUAGGGUACACAUGAAAAGAGUGCGCCCACUUCUCUCUCCUUUUUCUCUUCUUUUCUUUUCUUUUCUCAUGCCAAAAUCCUCUCUCAUGCCAUCCUUUUUUCUCUGAUCAUCUGUGCGCAUGCCCUCUCUUAUCUCCUUUUUAAAAUGAUGCAAGACCGCAUCUUUGCAGCAUUUUUACCGCGUGAGAGGAUAAAGAUAAGUGGUUGCUCAUUUGAAUUCAAAUCGAAUUUGAAUUUAAAUGCCAACCAACUCAUUCCUAUCCACUCUAUGCAUG
rnacentral:lncRNA from 1 species